rnacentral:rRNA from 1 species
AAAGAAAGCGUAAUAGCUCACUGGUCGAGUCGGCCUGCGCGGAAGAUGUAACGGGGCUAAACCAUGCACCGAAGCUGCGGCAGCGACACUCAGGUGUUGUUGGGUAGGGGAGCGUUCUGUAAGCCUGUGAAGGUGGCCUGUGAGGGUUGCUGGAGGUAUCAGAAGUGCGAAUGCUGACAUAAGUAACGAUAAAGCGGGUGAAAAGCCCGCUCGCCGGAAGCAGAGUCAACCCUGAAGUGGUAAGCGCCCUCCCGAAGGUUAAGCUACCUACUUCUUUUGCGCCAGCGGUCCGGCCGGGAACUCAAAGGAGACUGCCAGUGCCAGCGGUCCGGCCGGGAACUCAAAGGAGACUGCCAGUAGACCAAGGGUUCCUGUCCAACGUUAAUCGGGGCAGGUGAAUCG